AAGAGGGAGAUGAGCUGCUCUAGUAGGAGAUUGAGGGCAAGGUAAGGCUGGGCUGGAGAUGGUCGAGGCCGCACUCAGAGAGGCAAGGGGAAAAGCCAAGGUGGGCAGAGAAGCUGCUUUCAUGAGCCUUUGUGGAGGCUUGGGCCUGAUAGUGAAUCCAAACUGGGAAAGUUGAGAGACCCCACCUCACUCAGGGGUGAAGCCAGCCUGGCUAGGCAGUGCUGCAACAAGGCCUCUUUGCUUUCCUUAAGGAACAUGUUGCCACCCACAUGGAAAGCAUCAAAGAAGAGUAAACCAGAAAUAAAACCAUUCCAGGGGGAUAGAGAAAAAUACCCAUGAAGAUAAUUGUGAGUGUAUGAAGAUUGAAGAGGAAGUAAGCUACAGUGCCUUUGUGAUAUCUCUGGGUAUAUGUGGAAGUUCAUCUUUGCUCUAAUGAGUUACUGGGCCAAAUUAUAUACUGCUGUAACUCCAUUCAUUUCAAUUGGUUCACUCCUGAUUUACACUGGUGUAAAUGAGAGACGUUUCAAGAAUUUUGGACCUCUGGAAGCCACCUGUGCUGACAAAUCACUGAUUCCAAGAGACACCUUGGAAAGAACACUGGGAAAUCCUGCUGCCUCUGCUCAUAAAGGAGAAGCAGUUAUAGAAUUGCUCAGGGUUAGAUUGUGGCUUUUGGCAAAGCCCUGCACAGAAUUGCCUUACUGCAGGAGUAGCCCAUGGAGGCGUUGACUGGGGCAACCCUCUCUGCCUCAGCUCCCCUCCUGCAUUUUCCUAGGCACUAGUUGUUCAUCACUGGUCUAUAGCAGCAGCAGAUUACAUCUUCCUCUGGGUGGACUUGGCUACUCCAGCCAGUGACCAAAAAGCAGGAGUCGAAGCUCCACCCAUCCCCUGCCCACUUGUCCCAGCCAGGAAGCAGUAAGUAGAUGAGGAUCCUGGCAAAUGCAUAUGUACCUGGACCUGGGUAGCCCGUAUAAGGGGGCCAGAGAUCCUUAUACCCUCUGACUGCUCUCUUUCACAGGCACCUAGGCCAUGUCGCACAAUCCUGCCUUCAACACUUACUUUGUAAAUGACACUAAGGGGUAAUGUGAAUAAAAUGUGAGCUGUUUGUUUCAGUAGUUGUUGUAUAUUGACCACCCUGUAAAUGGUACUGAAUAUUAACCCAGAGUCACUUUUUUUAUGGGGAUUCGUGUGAAUCUGUCUGAAGUAUGAAGAAAACUCUUCUUCUUUUUAGAAGAUACCAAUGGUUUAAAAAAUUCUAACUGUAUCCAAGAUCUUAAAACAACAGCUGAACAUACAAAAGCAGCUGUGCAUAAAGCCCCCAUGUUUUUUAAGUGGUAACAUGUUACCCUCAUUGUGGAACAAUAGCUAAGAUCUUGCAGCAAUCCUUACAGUAACAAAGGGGUGUCAGAUUGUUCCAUGAAGUAUCUCACAAGAUAAUGUGGCAUGUCAUGCUGAAGCUAUAUUGUGCAUAUACACACAAUGCAUGUGGGCAUAUAGUCUGACAUUUCAGAUCAUAUUCAGACCUAUCAUGCACAUGGGUAUAAUGACAUGACCUAUGCAUUCUACGUGUGUGUGUAUUAUACACAUAUGGCACUUAGUGUGACAUAUCAUGGAAUUUUGUGAUACAUCACAUAGGAAACUUAGACAUGUUAACCUAGGUGUGAGUAGAAACAGAGAUUGACUCAAAUGAGAGGGAUUCUGCCAAAACAUAGACCAGUGUAAUUCCAAUGACUUUAACAGAGUUAUUCUGCCUGAUUUUCACCAGUGUAAUAGUUUUUAAUUCUCUAAUCAAUCUGUAGCUCAUAUAUACCUUUCACUACAUGGACAGUGCAUGUGAAGGAGAUUCACUUUGUUCAUAAAUGAACACAGGAGUAAUUUAAGAAAAGUUUGCUUUAAGGUGACCAGUUUUUGAUUAGGAUAUAGGUAAGGUGAAGAAUGGAGAUUCAGAGAUAACAGAAUUUCCAGAGACAUGAAAAUGAAGCAGACAGAAUGGAAAAAGAAUACACCCCAGAAAUAAACUGAUCAGAUUUGGUUUAAUGCUACUCAGAAACUGCUUAUAGCACUUUCUUCUUUUAGG